AAAGGAAAAGAGAAAGCAGUUUAGAAAAGCAUCGGUGUGAUCAAAACAUGUUGUGACUUGCCGCAGUUGAAAACCUAAUGAAAUAGAUAUCCGUAGGAGGAGGCGCAAAAGGAGAAAACGCGAUGAUGCAGUAGAGGGGAGGCCGUAAAAGCUAACGUGUAGAAAAAGAUAGCUCUAACGAUGAUACAAGUGUUCUAGUGAUAGCUCUGUUGUUUCCAUUUGUUUCCCUUUUCUUUUUAACAAUUGAUCUAGUUUUGGGUCUUACAUAAUUUUAUAUACACGAAUUAAGGUUUAUAUAGAACUUUUAUGCAUCAAACUAUAUGAACUAAAUAAAAUUUGAGUUUUCUACAUAAACAAAAGCAUGGUCCAAAACUUACGUUUACAUAGAUGUCGUUAAUCAAACUGUGACAACUUGCUGGCUACUUUUGUAGAAGACAACCCAAUAAAUAGAACGGGCUUUGACAAAAACAAAGACAUGGUAGCCCAAACUCAACAAAGCCCACUACAGAAGCCCAGUCAACAUAUGCAAAAGAAGAUAAAGACCAAAAGCUCUUUACCUGCAAAACAGAAGACUGUCACUAAUACGGAGAAGAAGACAAUAACACUUGAAAACAAAUUCAAGCCGUUGCAGUCGCUGCCGUUGCAGUAAUUCACAAUAAAUAGCUAUUGAUUAAAGAUAGCAUUGUCAAGGAUUCUAAAUUGUUCUAAAGAAGUCAUAAAAGAAAGAUGUAAAACUCCAUUGAAAGAUAAGCAAAAUAAAAACAUUUUUUGUCAAGAAAUAAUCACAGUUUUAUUUUUCUCUUCAUGGUAUCAGAGCUAUUAUACCUUAACAGGUGAUUCAAUGGCCCCUGCUUACCCUUUUCCAGACAAUGUCCAUGUCUCUAGUUCCGUUACCUUAAAGCUCAACGAUAGUAACUACUUGUUGUGGAAGACACAGUUUGAGUCCCUUCUAUCGAGCCAAAAGCUCAUAGGUUUUGUCAAUGGAGUCGUCACUCCUCCAGCUCAGACUCGUCUUGUUGUUAAUGAUGAUGUCACCAGCGAAGUUCCGAAUCCUCAAUAUGAAGACUGGUUUUGCACAGACCAGCUCGUCCGGUCGUGGUUGUUUGGUACGCUUUCAGAGGAAGUGCUUGGUCAUGUCCACAACCUCACUACAUCUCGUCAGAUUUGGAUCUCUCUAGCUGAAAAUUUCAACAAAAGUAGCAUCGCCAGAGAGUUUUCUCUUCGUCGUAAUCUUCAACUUCUGACAAAAAAAGAUAAGUCUCUAUCUGUUUACUGUCGUGAUUUUAAAAUAAUAUGCGACUCUCUAAGCUCCAUUGGCAAACCAGUAGAGGAAUCCAUGAAAAUCUUUGGCUUUCUCAAUGGACUCGGCAGAGAGUACGAUCCUAUCACCACAGUUAUCCAAAGCUCCCUAAGCAAGCUCCCUGCUCCGACGUUUAACGACGUCAUCUCCGAAGUUCAAGGGUUUGACAGUAAGCUGCAAUCUUAUGACGACACUGUCUCUGUUAAUCCUCAUCUUGCGUUCAAUACUGAAAGAUCUAACUCUGGCGCUCCUCAAUACAAUUCCAAUUCCCGUGGUCGUGGUCGUUCUGGGCAAAACAGAGGACGCGGUGGCUACUCUACACGCGGCAGAGGAUUUUCUCAACAUCAAUCCGCUUCACCAUCAUCAGGACAAAGACCAGUUUGUCAAAUUUGUGGUCGCAUAGGACACACUGCUAUCAAAUGCUACAACCGAUUUGACAACAACUACCAAAGUGAAGUCCCUACUCAAGCAUUUUCUGCUCUCCGUGUCUCUGAUGAAACCGGCAAGGAAUGGUACCCCGAUUCUGCAGCCACAGCCCACAUAACAGCCUCAACAUCUGGUCUGCAAAACGCAACAACAUAUGAGGGAAACGAUGCAGUCUUGGUUGGAGAUGGAACAUACCUCCCUAUUACACAUGUUGGAUCCACCACAAUUUCCUCAUCCAAAGGUACUAUUCCGUUGAAUGAAGUCUUAGUGUGCCCUGCUAUACAAAAAUCUCUUCUAUCUGUGUCCAAACUUUGCGAUGAUUAUCCAUGCGGUGUUUAUUUUGAUGCUAAUAAGGUUUGCAUAAUUGAUUUAACCACUCAGAAAGUGGUGUCCAAGGGUCCACGAAAUAAUGGGCUCUACAUGCUGGAGAAUUCAGAGUUUGUAGCACUCUAUUCAAAUCGUCAAUGUGCAGCUAGCAUGGAAACAUGGCAUCAUCGACUUGGCCACUCAAACUCAAAGAUUCUUCAGCAACUUUUAACCCGCAAGGAAAUCCAAGUGAAUAAAAGCAGAACUUCUCCCGUUUGUGAGCCUUGCCAAAUGGGAAAGAGCACUAGAUUACAGUUUUUCUCUUCUGAUUUUCGAGCUUUAAAACCUUUAGAUCGAGUUCAUUGUGAUCUUUGGGGACCAUCACCGGUUGUAUCAAACCAAGGAUUCAAAUACUAUGCAGUUUUUGUUGAUGAUUUCUCAAGAUUCUCUUGGUUUUUUCCUUUGCGCAUGAAGUCAAAGUUUAUUUCAGUGUUUAUUGCAUAUCAGAAAUUGGUUGAGAAUCAACUUGGUACAAAAAUCAAAGAGUUUCAAAGCGAUGGAGGGGGAGAAUUUACAAGCAACAAAUUAAAAGAACACUUUAGAGAGCAUGGCAUUCAUCAUCGUAUAUCUUGUCCAUAUACACCGCAACAAAACGGUGUUGCCGAAAGGAAGCACAGACAUUUGGUAGAGCUUGGGCUUUCAAUGUUAUAUCACAGUCAUACACCUCUCAAGUUCUGGGUAGAAGCUUUCUUCACUGCCAACUAUCUCAGUAAUCUCUUGCCUUCUUCUGUCCUCAAGGAAAUAAGUCCCUAUGAAACUUUGUUUCAACA
rnacentral:sRNA from 1 species